GUCCACUGCUUAUUCAUGUGUUUUCCCUUUUUAUUCUGAGGAGAGGGGUGUCUGUGCAUAAAAGCUGUGUGUACCAAUAAAUGAUGGUCAGUGGUUUUACCCCCAGAACUGUGCUGCAUCCAGUUACUGGGGGGAAAUGGAUGCCUGCUUGUUGUAACGGUUCCUGAACGGCUAAAGGAAGGGGAUUAGCGGAUGCAACUGGUCUGGUUACCAGGGGAUCCGCU